GUUUGUUUCUUACUUAUUAACCAUGUUACGAUAGAUAAAGUUCAUGAAAUAAAUGCAACAAACUGGAAGCUGGCUGAAGCUGGAUGUUCCCAUUAUUCAAAAAAAUCUGAACUCGAUUAAGAACAUAAAGUUGGACUUACUAAUUCUAAUAUUGAAUAUUUGUUAUAACGUUAUCCGAUGCUAUUAUUGAUACAGCUGGUGCUUUUAUGAUUAAUAUCUUCAAAGGCAUAAAUUUCAGUUCGUUUCAUGUUCAUGACUCUAGUCGAAACUUGUAUAAUCAAAAUUCGAAUUGUUCGAGCUGAAAUGUAUUGUUUAAGAGUGCAAUUAUGUUAGCAAAAGAGUAGCAUUUACUUAUCUGAUUGUGAUGGUUAUGACGAUAAAUCACUAGUUUAACAUACAAAGUACAAGGUUACAAUAUUCUUAAGGAUUAAUUUCAAAUAAUAUUAGUUAAUUUCCAUAAUAAUUGUGAUUUGUCUGAUCACUGGUCAGAUAAAAGAUGUAUAUUCAUGAUAUUUGGCAUUCCAGGUUUGAUAAUACACAAAGCAUUGGUAACCUGCAUAAAUAACAAUGAUAUUCUGGUUCAUUGUUAUUGAUCACAAUAAAGGGAUGAAACCAAUUUGAUCAAUAACAAGAUUCAAACCAUUUGAUCAAUUUGAUUUCAAUAUAAAACACAACAGUAAGAAUCAUGAUGCAUCUUUCAGAUACUCAUCUACGGCAACCCGUACAACCAGCAAGCUCAUUAGAAUCGUUAAUUGAAUCAUUUUUUAGAGAUAUACCUGAAAACCCCUGAGAAACCUGAAUAAGGAUAAUAAUUAUUCAUAAAUAAUGGACAAAAAGUUUGCUUUUAAAAAAUUAUUUAAUAUUCUUAUUUAAGAAAUGUUACAAUCAACAGAUGAAGAGUUUAAAUGAAAAUUCAUCUUAUAU